UCAUACAUUUGGGCUGCUAUCACAAAAUACUACAGACAGGAAGAGAGUGAUGCUCAAAACUCCCGACUUUUCUGGGCACAUGACUUAGCGACAAAGCCCCACCUGAACGCAAGCCUCCUCAUUCCAAGGCCAAAGGCUUUCCCUUGUUCCUCUCUGAGGCUUAACAGACCUUCCGAAGGUUACCCGCAUUCCACAAGGGGGCUGACGUCCCCUCUCAAUGUUGGCAACUGCACUGCAGAAAGAGCUGGAGGAGAGCUAGCGUGAGAAUCGUCUGUACAGCUGAAAAGGAAAACAGCGGU